CAAGAAACAUGGCUGCUCGAAGGAGCCUAAAUUUGUAUUUAGACUUGUCGUUUUCGACUAUAAAUAUAACCUAAUGGCGAUAAGCAAGACUCAUAAAAAGGCAAAGUUUUAAACGAUUUUGGAACCGGUUUGGCGCAGAAUAACCUGGGAUAUGUUAAGCUAUACUGACAGUUUGAACAUCGCUAAAUACAUCGCCAAGUCCGCAGUUUACAUCGCGCGAAAGAAUGUUGGUCUAUUCGGCGGAGUUUUACCUCAUGUAUGGCAAGAUUACUAUAGAUUACACUAUCAAAUACUUCGAAUUUCUAGUGAAAAUACACCGAUCACGGGAACCACUUAGACAUGUAGAAAUGCUAGCGAUUUUGGUUUACAAAUACUGCUUGUUCGUGCUGUUGUUAUUAUCGAAGUCCGCAACCAUGAGAUAUCUAAACAAAGUAGGUUAAAAUUUGACAUUUUUGUAAAUCCCUGUAUAGUUUAUAGUAAUAUUUAGUCGCCAUAUUGGGACAAUGUGCGCAUGUCCGUCUCCAUCUUGUCCCAUAUUUCUGCUAAUGUGCUAAUGAUCAAUUAACCAAUGAAAUAUCUUCAGUUGUCAUAUAUUAUUAAAAUAAAGGACUGUCCAAUCAGAGGCCUUUCCCCAAAUCUGGGGAAUAUCCGACAUCCGACUCACAGACGUUCUCUCCUGCGCUUCGUCGAGAAUAACAUCUGCACACAGGCUAAUAAAGUAGAGCUAAUACAACUCGUCGCGCAAACUGGAGUGGUAUGAAUGCUUCCCAAUACGCGUUAGAAUAACUAUAGAGGUCGGCAAGUGAUAAACGAAACAUGGGAAGCGUGCAAUCAACGAUUGUCAUUCCUAUAUAUUCAUACAUAAUUAGCACAAAAUUUGGUGGCCAUAUUAACAGCAAAUUCAGUCGCGCAUGCGUAAUACCCAUGUCCAAAAUUUCUGGCCAUGAUGUAUAAACAGAAAAAAAUAUCACAGUUUCAUAGCCUUCAAAAAAACACGUCCA